UGGGGAAUUUUGCACAAUGGGGGAAACCCUGAUGCAGCGACGCCGCGUGAUUUAGAAGGCCUUCGGGUUGUAAAAAUCUUUUCUAUGGGAAGAAAAUGACAGUACCAUAGGAAUAAGGACCGGCUAAUUACGUGCCAGCAGCCGCGGUAAUACGUAAGGUCCGAGCGUUGUCCGGAAUCAUUGGGCGUAAAGGGUACGUAGGCGGUUAAGCAAGUUAGAAGUGAAAUCCUAUAGCUCAACUAUAGUAAGCUUUUAAAACUGCUCAUCUUGAGGUAUGGAAGGGAAAGUGGAAUUCCUAGUGUAGCGGUGAAAUGCGCAGAUAUUAGGAGGAAUACCGGGGGCGAAGGCGACUUUCUGGCCAUAACCUGACGCUGAGGUACGAAAGCGUGGGUAGCAAACAGG
rnacentral:rRNA from 1 species